CCCUUAGAUGUCCUGGGCCGCACGCGCGCUACACUGAGUGUCUGAGAUACGAGUCUGCCUGGUCCGGCAAGGUCUAGGUAAUCGCUAAAAGACACAUCAUGCUUGGGAUAGAUUAUUGCAAAUAUUAAUCUUGAACGAGGAAUUCCUAGUAAGCGCGAGUCAUCAGCUCGUGCUGAUUACGUCCCUGCCCUUUGUACACACCGCCCGUCGCUGCAACUGAUUGGGUGACCUGGUGAACAUCUUGGACCGGCCCACUCAAUUUCGAGAGGACUGGAAAAGGCCGUAAAUCAGGUACAUCUAGAAAUUGCAAAAGUCGUAACA
rnacentral:rRNA from 1 species